CCUACGGGGGGCUGCAGCAAGGAAUUUUCGGCAAUGGGCGCAAGCCUGACCGAGCAACGCCGCGUGCAGGAUGACGGCCUUCGGGUUGUAAACUGCUUUUAUGAGGGACGAUUUGGACGGUACCCCACGAAUAAGCCCCGGCUAACUCUGUGCCAGCAGCCGCGGUAAUACAGAGGGGGCAAGCGUUGUCCGGAUUGACUGGGCGUAAAGGGUACGUAGGCGGUCUCGUAGGUGGGGUGUGACAUCUCCCGGCUUAACCGGGAGCGGCCGCUCCA
rnacentral:rRNA from 1 species